UUCCCAUUUGCCCACCUCUCAGCAUUUAUUUUUCUCUCUCUAUAAACAUGGCGAGACUUUCUCAGUUCCAUUAAAAAUCUAGUUUUCUCCAUAACUGUGAUAGUGUUAGUAUUUAAGGGAACUGGGCGUGAGAGCUCCUUCAGUGAAGUAGUUGAAGAACGAGGGGCUUGUUUGGCGAGAGAGAGAAUGGGGGAGGGAACGGGCAAAGGUUGAAGACAGCUAGAGAGAAACAUGGAGAAACAGAUAGCUUCUAGUUGUAGCCAGCUUGAAACAAACAAAAGGCAAUGACCAUUCAGUGCAAGGUUUGCAUGCAGACAUUUAUAAGUACCUCUUCAGAGGUGAAAUGCAGGGAGCAUGCUGAAGCGAAGCAUCCCAAGAACGAUGUUUACUAGUGUUUCCCUCAUCUCAAGAAGUAGAAAUCGGCAUGUUGGUUUUGUGGGACUCCCUAAAUCAUCACUGUAUCUGUUCUAAACUUAAUAUCAAUUCUUAAGAGAAAAAAACUUGUGCUCUGUGAUUUCAUGCAGAAGUAGUAAUGUUUAUAGCUUAUCAAUUACGUCUUUGUCAAUAAAAAGGAAGAAAGUAUCGGUCCCCCAUUGCUGAAUAUGGCUUGUACUUAAAGUAUUAUUCAAUGUGAUUAUCUAGAGAAAUAGGUGGUACAAGCCUUUGUUGUAUUUCCCCCCCUCUGCUUUUCAAUCUCAGAAUCUCAAUGUACUUGGACAAUUCUAGCUUGGCAUCAGCCAUCUCUGUCUGUUGUUGAACAGUGAAAGGAGUUUGCGAUUCCUAAUGGAGGUGAAAAUGCAAAGGUUCCAAAAA